GCAGCCGCCGCGGUAAUACAGAGGGUGCGAGCGUUAAUCGGAUUUACUGGGCGUAAAGCGUGCGUAGGCGGCUUCUUAAGUCGGAUGUGAAAUCCCUGAGCUUAACUUAGGAAUUGCAUUCGAUACUGGGAAGCUAGAGUAUGGGAGAGGAUGGUAGAAUUCCAGGUGUAGCGGUGAAAUGCGUAGAGAUCUGGAGGAAUACCGAUGGCGAAGGCAGCCAUCUGGCCUAAUACUGACGCUGAGGUACGAAAGCAUGGGGAGCAAACAGGAUUAGAUACCCCUGUAGUCCCUGUCUCUUAUAC
rnacentral:rRNA from 1 species